GCCGACUUUGGGUGUAGUGCCUGUGAGUUAGCCCUGCUCCACAGGGAGCAAAAAAGGCAGGAGAAGUUAAGGAAGGGUCACAGUGCAAAGCAGGACACCUCAACUUCUUGGACUCUUGAAAGACCCUUGACAUGCCCCAUUUUGAACUUCAUCCAAAUGGCUGCUGAAUGGUUUUUAGAUAGGAAUUACAUUUGAGCUGAUGUGUCCCUAGUGGUGACAGAGAAUAACAUUAAUGGAUGGGGAUGGUUCUGAGUGAAUAUGAGGAGCUUAUUUUAUGAGAGAAAAACACAAGACUUUAGUAGUUUAACAGACAUCACCUAUUCACAGGAACUUAGUUCAGAAUAGAAUUUUGAAUUGAAGGUAGAGGUUCUAAUAUGGUCCCACAAGGAACAUUUUUUUUUUUUUCCUGGCUGAAGGAACUUCAGUUUCUGAAGUACAAACUGUUCUGAUAAUAUCUAGAAGAACUUUCAUAAGAUAUGCGCCAAACAUUACAGAUUGUACCCACAUUCCUUAUCUACUCCUUCCUUUAUUAUUUUACUCAGAGAUAUGGGCAUCUGGGUUACAGAUCACAUUUCCCAGCCUCCCUUGCAGUUAGAAGUGACCAUGUGACUAAAUUCUAGCCAAUAGGAUACAGUGGAAGUGAUCUGCAACUUCUGAAGAGAGUCUCUCAAGAGUGACUUACUAUACAUGUUGAAGUGCUCUGAUGGAAGGAACAGAAACCUCUGAAAGGAAGCCGUCAAAGUAGGAACUGCCAACAAAAAUGUGUUAUAUGAGUCUACACUGUGAUGAAAUGGGGAGUGAUUGAGGAUUGGGGCCUAAUAAAAAGCACCUGUCUGGAAGCCAUGGCACCUGAUGUUUCUGAGGUGUCACAGGAAUAGAGUAGAAUCACGAAAAGAGAGAGAACCUCCUCGCAUCCGGCAGCACACCUAACGUUCAUUGGCACAGUGGCCUCAUCAGCACCUCUGACGUGAUCUAACUAUCCCUGUCUUCUUGUUUCCUUCAAGUCCUUCUGGAAUCUCCUUUCUAAGAUGGGAGUAAAGAUACAAAGGAAAU
rnacentral:lncRNA from 1 species